rnacentral:rRNA from 1 species
CAGUCGCCGCGGUAAUACGGAGGGGGCUAGCGUUGUUCGGAAUUACUGGGCGUAAAGCGCACGUAGGCGGCUAUGUAAGUUAGAGGUGAAAGCCUGGAGCUCAACUCCAGAAUUGCCUUUAAGACUGCAUCGCUUGAAUCCAGGAGAGGUGAGUGGAAUUCCGAGUGUAGAGGUGAAAUUCGUAGAUAUUCGGAAGAACACCAGUGGCGAAGGCGGCUCACUGGACUGGUAUUGACGCUGAGGUGCGAAAGCGUGGGGAGCAAACAGGAUUAGAUACCCCAGUAGUCCCUGUCUCUUAUAC